UCCUCGGUAGCUUAGUGGUAGAGCAAACGGCUGUUAACCGUUCGGUCGCUGGUUCGAGUCCGGCCCGGGGAG
rnacentral:tRNA from 1 species